rnacentral:rRNA from 1 species
CAGUCGCCGCGGUAAUACGUAGGUGGCAAGCGUUGUCCGGAAUUAUUGGGCGUAAAGGGCUCGCAGGCGGUUUCUUAAGUCUGAUGUGAAAGCCCCCGGCUCAACCGGGGAGGGUCAUUGGAAGCUGGGAAACUUGAGUGCAGAAGAGGAGAGUGGAAUUCCACGUGUAGCGGUGAAAUGCGUAGAGAUGUGGAGGAACACCAGUGGCGAAGGCGACUCUCUGGUCUGUAACUGACGCUGAGGAGCGAAAGCGUGGGGAGCGAACAGGAUUAGAUACCCGAGUAGUCCCUGUCUCUUAUAC